UACGUAGGGGGCAAGCGUUGUCCGGAUUUAUUGGGCGUAAAGAGCGUGUAGGCGGCUUUACAGGUCCGUUGUGAAAACUCGAGGCUCAACCUCGAGACGCCGGUGGAAACCGUAAAGCUAGAGUCCGGAAGAGGAGAGUGGAAUUCCUGGUGUAGCGGUGAAAUGCGCAGAUAUCAGGAGGAACACCAACGGCGAAGGCAGCACUCUGGGCCGGAACUGACGCUGAGGAGCGAAAGCGUGGGUAGCGAACAGG
rnacentral:rRNA from 1 species